UACGUAGGGGCAGCAGUCGUUCGUCGAUUGUGGCGUAAAGGGCGCGUAGGCGGUUUCUUAAGUUUGGAGUGACAGUGGGUGGCUUAACUACCCAAGGCCUCUGAAAACUGGGGAACUUGAGGACCAGAGAGGGACAUAGAAUUCCGGGGUGGAGUGGUGAAAUGCGUAGAUAUCCGGAGGAAUACCAAAGGCGAAGGCAGUGUCCUGGAGGGUGACUGACGCUGAGGCGCGAAAGCUAGGGGAGCGAACAGG
rnacentral:rRNA from 1 species